GGCGAAAUAGGGGACAGGAGCCGCGGUCAGACGGUGGGGGCAAGGGUUGGCCUGAAUCAGUGGACGGAAAGGGCGUGUAGGCGGCCCUGUAAGUCCGCGGUGAAAGUCCAUGGCUCAACCCUGGGAUGCCGGUGGAUACGGGCGGGCUCGAGUCCGGAAGAGGAGUGUGGAAUUCCUGGUGUAGCGGUGAAAUGCGCAGAUAUCAGGAGGAACACCAAUGGCGAAGGCAGCACUCUGGGACGUGACUGACGCUGAGACGCGAAAGCGUGGGGAGCAAACAGGAUUAGAUACCCGGGAGUC
rnacentral:rRNA from 1 species